rnacentral:misc_RNA from 1 species
CGUACAUUAAACACUUUCGUUGGCACUACUCCCUCUUCGUGACUCAUAGCAAUUCCACAAAUCCAAGUUUAUGGUAUCAAAUUGCAUGGUCAAACAACAGGCUACUUAAACGGCUCCUGUUACUAAGCUCGUUUUGGAUACAGCCACUUGUCCGUAACAUCUGUCCUAUUCAAUGCAUCAACGAAAUUGUUUUCAGUGAUCAUUUUUUAUCAUAAUAAAUUGAAAAAUUCAUAGUCUUAAGCGACUUGAAAUGUGGGAAUCGUAAAUAUAAUAUUUAAUAAUUGUAUACUAUGCACAAUAAAUGCAUACAGUAUUUCUAUAUUUAUUAUUUUGCUAUAAAUAU